GUACGAGUGGGAAUAUAACGGUCAGAAAGUGUUCGAAUGCCGUGCAAGCCGGUUGUCGAGGCACAAACUGUACUGGACCAAGACUGGAGUUGCCUCGAUGGGAAACUUCUGAACUCUCAUGCUCCAGCUGAGAAGCUGACUGCUGAACUAGAAAGCAGGGGAGUGGAGGUAUAGAGUUGCAUCACCUGGGAUACCAAGCCAUCUCCAUCACCGAACCACCAGUGAUGAGGAGAUGUGGAGAGGUGGCGAGAGAUACACACACGCACACAGAGA